rnacentral:rRNA from 1 species
UACGUAGGUGGCAAGCGUUGUCCGGAUUUAUUGGGCGUAAAGCGAGCGCAGGCGGUUUUUUAAGUCUGAUGUGAAAGCCUUCGGCUCAACCGAAGAAGUGCAUCGGAAACUGGGAAACUUGAGUGCAGAAGAGGACAGUGGAACUCCAUGUGUAGCGGUGAAAUGCGUAGAUAUAUGGAAGAACACCAGUGGCGAAGGCGGCUGUCUGGUCUGUAACUGACGCUGAGGCUCGAAAGUAUGGGUAGCAAACAGG